rnacentral:tRNA from 1 species
AUUUAGUUAGUAUAAUAAUUACAUUUAAUUUCCAAUUAAAAGAUUUUCAAAUAAACUAAUUA